rnacentral:rRNA from 1 species
GACGAACGCUGUCGGCGUGCUUAACACAUGCAAGUCGAACGGAAAGGCCCUGCUUUUGUGGGGUGCUCGAGUGGCGAACGGGUGAGUAACACGUGAGUAACCUGCCCUUGACUUUGGGAUAACUUCAGGAAACUGGGGCUAAUACCGGAUAGGAGCUCCUGCUGCAUGGUGGGGGUUGGAAAGUUUCGGCGGUUGGGGAUGGACUCGCGGCUUAUCAGCUUGUUGGUGGGGUAGUGGCUUACCAAGGCUUUGACGGGUAGCCGGCCUGAGAGGGUGACCGGCCACAUUGGGACUGAGAUACGGCCCAGACUCCUACGGGAGGCAGCAGUGGGGAAUGUUACACAAUGGGCGGAAGCCUGAUGCAGCAACGCCGCGUGCGGGAUGACGGCCUUCGGGUUGUAAACCGCUUUCGCCUGUGACGAAGCGUGAGUGACGGUAAUGGGUAAAGAAGCACCGGCUAACUACGUGCCAGCAGCCGCGGUGAUACGUAGGGUGCGAGCGUUGUCCGGAUUUAUUGGGCGUAAAGGGCUCGUAGGUGGUUGAUCGCGUCGGAAGUGUAAUCUUGGGGCUUAACCCUGAGCGUGCUUUCGAUACGGGUUGACUUGAGGAAGGUAGGGGAGAAUGGAAUUCCUGGUGGAGCGGUGGAAUGCGCAGAUAUCAGGAGGAACACCAGUGGCGAAGGCGGUUCUCUGGGCCUUUCCUGACGCUGAGGAGCGAAAGCGUGGGGAGCGAACAGGCUUAGAUACCCUGGUAGUCCACGCUGUAAACGGUGGGUACUAGGUGUGGGGUCCAUUCCACGGGUUCCGUGCCGUAGCUAACGCUUUAAGUACCCCGCCUGGGGAGUACGGCCGCAAGGCUAAAACUCAAAGGAAUUGACGGGGCCCCGCACAAGCGGCGGAGCAUGCGGAUUAAUUCGAUGCAACGCGUAGAACCUUACCUGGGUUUGACAUGGAUCGGGAGUGCUCAGAGAUGGGUGUGCCUCUUUUGGGGUCGGUUCACAGGUGGUGCAUGCCUGUCGUCAGCUCGUGUCGUGAGAUGUUGGGUUAAGUCCCGCAACGAGCGCAACCCUUGUUCACUGUUGCCAGCACGUUAUGGUGGGGACUCAGUGGAGACCGCCGGGGUCAACUCGGAGGAAGGUGGGGAUGACGUCAAGUCCUCAUGCCCCUUAUGUCCAGGGCUUCACGCAUGCUACAAUGGCUGGUACAGAGAGUGGCGAGCCUGUGAGGGUGAGCGAAUCUCGGAAAGCCGGUCUCAGUUCGGAUUGGGGUCUGCAACUCGACCUCAUGAAGUCGGAGUCGCUAGUAAUCGCAGAUCAGCAACGCUGCGGUGAAUACGUUCCCGGG